GAUGAACGCUGGCGGCGUGCCUAAUACAUGCAAGUCGAGCGAACAGACGAGGAGCUUGCUCCUCUGACGUUAGCGGCGGACGGGUGAGUAACACGUGGAUAACCUACAUAUAAGACUGGGAUAACUUCGGGAAACCGGAGCUAAUACCGGAUAAUAUAUUGAACCGCAUGGUUCAAUAGUGAAAGACGGUUUUGCUGUCACUUAUAGAUGGAUCCGCGCCGCAUUAGCUAGUUGGUAAGGUAACGGCUUACCAAGGCAACGAUGCGUAGCCGACCUGAGAGGGUGAUCGGCCACACUGUAACUGAGACACGGUCCAGACUCCUACGGGAGGCAGCAGUAGGGAAUCUUCCGCAAUGGGCGAAAGCCUGACGGAGCAACGCCGCGUGAGUGAUGAAGGUCUUCGGAUCGUAAAACUCUGUUAUUAGGGAAGAACAAAUGUGUAAGUAACUAUGCACGUCUUGGCGGUACCUAAUCAGAAAGCCACGGCUAACUACGUG
rnacentral:rRNA from 1 species